CUGCAUUUCUGACAGACCCAGAGCACUUGAAGUCUGCUGCUAAGGUUGCCCCAACAGACGCAAGGAAAAAUAAGGUCCUCCCCCUUUCUGUCUGUCUAGUUGUGGCAGCCAAGAUUGAAUGGGGGAAUACAGGA
rnacentral:snoRNA from 1 species